rnacentral:lncRNA from 1 species
UUUGAUUCCAUAAUGACUAGGUCAUUUAUUUCAGGAAUGAAAUGAUGUUUCAGGGCUAAAAAUUAUCGAUGAAAUUUACUGCAAUCGUUGAUGACAAAAGGAAGAAAAAAUAGACAAGAGGACCUCAACUAAUGAAAUUCAACAGCCAUUUCUGUCUGUUUAAAACAAAACUCGCAGCAUCUAAGAAUGUAUAGGAAACAAGGCAACAUUCUUGACUCAAAAUAUAUCAAAUGUAUUUGUGAUUGA